rnacentral:rRNA from 1 species
AUUGAACGCUGGCGGCAGGCCUAACACAUGCAAGUCGAGCGGAUGAAGGGAGCUUGCUCCUGGAUUCAGCGGCGGACGGGUGAGUAAUGCCUAGGAAUCUGCCUGGUAGUGGGGGAUAACGUCCGGAAACGGGCGCUAAUACCUCAUACGUCCUGAGGGAGAAAGUGGGGGAUCUUCGGACCUCACGCUAUCAGAUGAGCCUAGGUCGGAUUAGCUAGUUGGUGGGGUAAAGGCCUACCAAGGCGACGAUCCGUAACUGGUCUGAGAGGAUGAUCAGUCACACUGGAACUGAGACACGGUCCAGACUCCUACGGGAGGCAGCAGUGGGGAAUAUUGGACAAUGGGCGAAAGCCUGAUCCAGCCAUGCCGCGUGUGUGAAGAAGGUCUUCGGAUUGUAAAGCACUUUAAGUUGGGAGGAAGGGCAGUAAGUUAAUACCUUGCUGUUUUGACGUUACCAACAGAAUAAGCACCGGCUAACUUCGU